AGUCACUGACAUUAGAUACCCCGGUAGUCCCAGCCGUAAACAAUGUGCGUUAGGUGUGUCGGUAACCACGUGUUACUGAUGCGCCGAAGAGAGAUCGUGAAACGCACCACCUGGGAAGUACGGUCGCAAGGCUGAAACUUAAAGGAAUUGGCGGGGAGCACCACAACAGGUGGAGCCUGCGGUUUAAUUGGAUUCAACGCCGGACAUCUCACCGGAUAAGACAGCUGAAUGAUUGUCAAUCUGAAGGUUUUACAUGACUAGCUG
rnacentral:rRNA from 1 species